rnacentral:lncRNA from 10 species
UUUCUAUUUUCUGUUGGAAAUUUUAGAGAAGAUUAUCAAGGUUAUCUGUGCUCAAUGUGUGCAUCUCAGAUCAGCAGCAUCAGCAUCACCUGGGAGCUUGUUAGAGCUGGAGACUCUCAGGCUCCACGGCAGACUUCCUGAAUCAGAAGCUACAAUUUAACAGGAUCCUCGGGUGAUCUGAAAAUGCAAUAAAGUUUGGGAAGCACUGCUGUUGGUCAUUAGACAAUCUAAUGAACUAAGACUUUUGCCGAGCAUCUGAGUUGAAAUUUUUCAAGAUGAAAAGUUGCUAAAGAAAGAGAAAGGGAAGCGGUUUGCUCCAGUAUUCCUCUUUCCACCUUCCCACUGACUGGGAAGCGGCGGUUAGCAGAGCCACAGUCUUGGAUUAGAGAUAAGAGGGACAUGUUGAGGAAGGUGGAGUCUCCCCCACAGCCCUGGACCAGUACGGAAUCCCUGUAUUCUAGGAUUUGGCAAGCUGUCCACUGAAACAUUAUUUUUCCCAGCCUUCUUUGCAGAGGUGGGGAAACUGAGGCAAAGGGUGUUUAAAUGGUCUGCCCAAAGUCACACAGCUAAGAAGCAGUGAUGGGAUAUGAAGUCAAACAGUCUUAAAAGCAAGCUAUCCUGUUGCAAAAUAGAAUGUAGACACGAUGGUUGGAGUUCCAGAAGUUGUCUUGGACGAUGAGGUAGCUUUGAGGAUAGAAGCCUUUGGCUAAGGAAGGUGGAGCACAAAGACAGAAGACGAAGAGCAUUCCUGAGGACUGUGGAGUUCCAUGCCAGCCUUGCAUUGUCUAUCUUGUUACUUCUGUGGGAGAAAAAAUACAGUAAAC